rnacentral:rRNA from 1 species
AUUGAACGCUGGCGGCAGGCCUAACACAUGCAAGUCGAGCGGUAGAGAGGUGCUUGCAUCUCUUGAGAGCGGCGGACGGGUGAGUAAUGCCUAGGAAUCUGCCUAGUGGUGGGGGAUAACGUUCGGAAACGGACGCUAAUACCGCAUACGUCCUACGGGAGAAAGCGGGGGAUCUUCGGACCUCGCGCCAUUAGAUGAGCCUAGGUCGGAUUAGCUAGUUGGUGAGGUAAUGGCUCACCAAGGCGACGAUCCGUAACUGGUCUGAGAGGAUGAUCAGCCACACUGGGACUGAGACACGGCCCAGACUCCUACGGGAGGC